GUUGAUCCUGCCGGAGGCCAUUGCUAUUGGAGUCCGAUUUAGCCAUGCUAGUUGUACGAGUUCAUACUCGUAGCAAAUAGCUCAGUAACACGUGGCCAAACUACCCUCUGAGCACGAUAACCUCGGGAAACUGAGGCUAAUAGUGCAUACUGCUCGACGCUGGAACUGGCUCGAGCCCGAAAUGCCCCGGCGCCAGAGGAUGUGGCUGCGGCCGAUUAGGUAGACGGUGGGGUAACGGCCCACCGUGCCAAUAAUCGGUACGGGUUGUGAGAGCAAGAGCCCGGAGACGGUAUCUGAGACAAGAUACCGGGCCCUACGGGGCGCAGCAGGCGCGAAACCUUUACACUGCACGCCAGUGCGAUAAGGGGACUCCAAGUGCGAGGGCAUAACGUCCUCGCUUUUCGUGACCGUAAGGUGGUCACAGAAUAAGGGCUGGGCAAGACCGGUGCCAGCCGCCGCGGUAAUACCGGCAGCCCAAGUGAUGGCCGCUCUUAUUGGGCCUAAAGCGUCCGUAGCUGGCCCAGCAAGUCCAUCGGGAAAUCUGUCCGCCUAACGGACAGGCGUCCGGUGGAAACUGCUGGGCUUGGGACCGGAAGACCAGAGGGGUACGUCUGGGGUAGGAGUGAAAUCCUGUAAUCCUGGACGGACCACCGGUGGCGAAAGCGCCUCUGGAAGACGGAUCCGACGGUGAGGGACGAAAGCUCGGGUCACGAACCGGAUUAGAUACCCGGGUAGUCCGAGCUGUAAACGAUGUCUGCUAGGUGUGGCACAGGCUACGAGCCUGUGCUGUGCCGUAGGGAAGCCGUGAAGCAGACCGCCUGGGAAGUACGUCCGCAAGGAUGAAACUUAAAGGAAUUGGCGGGGGAGCAC
rnacentral:rRNA from 1 species